rnacentral:RNase_P_RNA from 1 species
GCAGGGGGCCGGGCGGCCGCUCGCGUGCAUGCACGCGGGAGGAAAGUCCGGGCUUGACGGGAGAACGGCGCCGGGUAACCCCCGGGGGGCGCGAGCCCACGGAGAGUGCAGCAGAAAGGACACCGCCUGCGGGCCAAAGGCCCAGGGGUAAGGGUGAAAAGGUGCGGUAAGAGCGCACCGCGCCCCCGGCAACGGGGGCGGCGAUGGCAAACCCCGCCGCAAGCGAGGCCAAAUAGGGGGGGCGUAUGUGGCGGUCUUCCGCGCCCACUGCCCCCCGGGUGGGCCGCGAUGAGGGCUCCGGGCGACCGGGCCCGAGAGAGGAAUGGCCGCCCCCCGCCCCCGGGCGGGGACAGAACCCGGCUUACAGGCCCCCUGCUGGA